AUGAACGCUGGCGGCGUGCCUAAUACAUGCAAGUCGAGCGAACAGACGCGGAGCUUGCUCCUCUGACGUUAGCGGCGGACGGGUGAGUAACCCGUGGAUAACCUACCUAUAAGACUGGGAUAACUUCGGGAAACCGGAGCUAAUACCGGAUAAUAUAUUUACCCGCAUGGUUCAAUAGUGAAAGACGGUUUUGCUGUCACUUAUAGAUGGAUCCGCGCCGCAUUAGCUAGUUGGUAAGGUAACGGCUUACCAAGGCAACGAGGCGUAGCCGACCUGAGAGGGUGAUCGGCGACACUGGAACUGAGACACGGUCCAGACUCCUACGGGAGGCAGCAGUAGGGAAUCUUCCGCAAUGGGCGAAAGCCUGACGGAGCAACGCCGCGUGAGUGAUGAAGGUCUUCGGAGCGUAAAACUCUGUUAUUAGGGAAGAACAAAUGUGUAAGUAACUAUGCACGGCUUGACGGUACCUAAUCAGAAAGCCACGGCUAACUACGUG
rnacentral:rRNA from 1 species